rnacentral:rRNA from 1 species
UACGAAGGGGGCUAGCGUUACUCGGAUUGACUGGGCGUAAAGGGCGCGUAGGCGGUUUGUACAGUCAGACGUGAAAUUCCUGGGCUCAACCUGGGGGCUGCGUUUGAUACGUGCAGACUUGAGUUCGGAAGAGGGUCGUGGAAUUCCCAGUGUAGAGGUGAAAUUCGUAGAUAUUGGGAAGAACACCGGUGGCGAAGGCGGCGACCUGGUCCGAUACUGGACGCUGAGGCGCGAAAGCGUGGGGAGCAAACAGG